GAUGAUGUGGCUCAGUGGUAGAGCACUUGCCUAAUGUGUGUGAGGUCCUGGAUUCUAUUCCCAGCACCACA
rnacentral:tRNA from 1 species